GACGAACGCUGGCGGCGUGCUUAACACAUGCAAGUCGAACGGAAAGGCCCCUUUGGGGGUACUCGAGUGGCGAACGGGUGAGUAACACGUGAGUAACCUGCCCUUGACUUCGGGAUAACUUCAGGAAACUGGGGCUAAUACCGGAUAGGAAUCCUUGCUGCAUGGUGGGGGUUGGAAAGCUUCGGCGGUUUUGGAUGGACUCGCGGCUUAUCAGCUUGUUGGUGGGGUAGUGGUUUACCAAGGCUUUGACGGGUAGCCGGCCUGAGAGGGCGACCGGCCACAUUGGGACUGAGAUACGGCCCAGACUCCUACGGGAGGCAGCAGUGGGGAAUAUUGCACAAGGGGCGGAAGCCUGAUGCAGCAACGCCGCGUGCGGGAUGACGGCCUUCGGGUUGUAAACCGCUUUCAGCAGGGGCGAAGCUUGUGGUGACGGUACCUGCAGAAGAAGCACCGGCUAACUACGUG
rnacentral:rRNA from 1 species